rnacentral:lncRNA from 1 species
CCUGGUCUUGUGGUGCUUGUGGAGGAGCAGGGGUGGCCCUUCUCCUACAUCACCACAUCAAGUAGGAGGAGGAGGUCCUCGUCAUCCAUCACAACCGUCAGGUUCGUAGUCAUCGCCUAGGUCCAAUGCUCCGGUCUAGCAUUUUUCCCUGUUGCCUUAUUCCCAAUUUUUCUAUGGUGCUCAAUUUUGUUUUCACCGUGUUCAUCAUCUCAGGGGCUUGCUGACACUGGAUCCAGUGGGGAGGAGAUCCUUUAGGCAUUUGAUUCUUGUGGGAUUCCCACGCAUCUUGCAAGAUAAACAUGCCAUUGUUUUUCACGCACACAUAUGCUUUGAUUUCUGAAUCAGGGCCGGAUAGUAAACUGCACCAUUCUAUAUUACGUUCCUAACCAAAGAUAUAUUGUUUGCUGAUACACUGGUCUUUAUUUGUUAGUUUUUACAGAAUAAAUGUAUCGUGGAUAACUAGCUUUGGGGCAUAUCCCUGCUAUCCUUUCAAAGAAAAACAUUGGUUUAAGUCUACACUUUAUUACGCAGAUGUAGCUUAACACCUUCAAAUUAUUAAUGUGUUCUCACUUUUCUUUAGGUGAUGGAUCAUCCUGAAAAACAGGUUGAGUGCAUCAGCUACUUCCAUGGCAAUGGAUUUAAGGAAUGCAAAUCAACGAGGCACAUUAUCUAACUCGUAUAAACUUAUCAUUGUUUUUACCUUUUCAUGCAGUUUUCCUUUACGAUUAUAGAUGACAUCUUAGCAGAAAGAAUAUAGUUGUGAAAUUUACUGCAAAUGUAAGCCUUGGAGUUUCAUAUUCACCUUGAAGUAUUCUUGAAAUGAAAGAUAGGCUUUGUUGGUUCCUCAGUUUGGAGAACUAGAGUUAUGGCGAUACAUAUUUGGGUAUUGAAACUAUCUGUGUUUGUGAUCAGCUCAUUUUUGUGUUGGAUGCUUAUUUAGCUAGCAGAGACGGCGCCAUCUCCGGCCGCCGGCGCUCUGCAGUGAUGCCUAAAACUGAGUUGUUGUUUAGGCCUCCUACGGUUCGUAGAUAGGAAUAUCAUCCUGUAGGGAAAGAGACUUCAUUUGAUGCAUAUAUAUAUACUAUGCUGCAUACUUUGUAGAUUUGUAUGGUUCCUAAAUAUACGACAGUGUUUGAUUAAUUUUUGUUCCAGAAAGGAGUAUCUAUCCUGUUUAUAAGGAUCCAUAUUGCAGGAUAUCAAAAUUAGUCAUUACUCAAUGCAGCCAUAUAGAUGACUGCAAAGCAAAAUUUUCAUAUCCUAAACUAUGAUUAAUACAUAGUUAUGAGCAUUUUUUCCUGUUUUACCACAGAUUGCCAUGGUCCAUGUGUUGAAAUCUGAAAUUUUUGAAUAUAUACUACUGGGUUAGUUUUAUUGCGGUAGGAUUAACUGAAGCAUAACUUAAAUGUGGCAUGUCAUUGUAAGAAGAAUCAGCUUUUGAUUAGUAUUUUGAAAUAGGAUAAAAUGAUUCAUCCAUUGAACGCGAAGAGUUCCUACCGGUAUUUGUUGGAUGACGACAAAAAAUAACUUGGGCCGUUCUAGCCCUGUUCCAAACUUCACUCGUAGAGGGUUGAGGGCGGGUGGCAGACGUCCAACCUAGAGCGCUUCAUGUACUGCACCAUCCUGGACGUCAAGGCCCACAUUCUUCUGAGGUGACACUAUUGCACCUCUCAAACCUGGCACCUUAAAUGCUUUGUCGUGUUCAAUUUUCACUGUUGCACCUCUCAAACCUGGCACCUUAAAUGCUUUGUCGUGUUCAAUUUUGCUCAAGAGUUCUGACAGUUUAAGGAUCUGUCAUUGCUUGUAUCUGUUGUGCGUGACAUGACCUUCUAAUUACCGAAUUAGUGCUCAUUGUUCGAUCAUAGACAUGAAAUGUUGAAUAAUGGUAUAGUAUACAUGUAAUGUGUCCGCUCUAUUUCCCUCUUCUCUAUUUUAAGAAUUUUUUUUGCUGCCUGCAGAGAACGAAAUUUGUUUUCUGCUGACACUAUGCAUACUGCCUAAUAAAUACACACACCUGUUGAUCCCCUGUUUUCUUGCUGUUUGACAAAUAGUACAAGCAAAGCAAGUUCAGGUGCUAUUCUAUUUAGAAAUAGCUACACAACACAUAUCAUUUAGUUACUAUGAUCAUUGUGUGUCUCGCUAGAAAUUAAUACACAUACAGGCACAUAUAGAAUCAUAAACCGCACUUACUCCCAGUAUCUUCUUCCCUACGAGGUCGGAGGCGAGCUUCCUGGCGACGGCGGCGGCGCUGGAUUUUCUCAUGGGUUGGUGGUGUAUCUACCGCUGACCUCCGGCACAGAUACACCGACCUCCGGGGCCCCAGCCCCUCCGCCCCCGGCCUCACCUUUCCCGUGUCCGCCCUCGCCGAGCAUUGAAUCUGCCGGCCACCAGGUAAGCUUUCUUCGUCCUCUUCCACCGCCUCUUACUUGCUGCUUCAAUCGCAGGCAAGAAUAGUUUAUCAAGUUCUUGCCUAGCCAUCUAUUUGUACAAUUUCUGCAGCUGUACUUUUGUGCCAUCUUCCUCCCAUUUAUUUCCUCUUGAUUGCAUAGGUUCUUUGACAAUCUGAUUUUGAUUUCUUGAAUGUUUGUAGACUCAAUGAUGGUUGAUCUUGUUAGCUACAGAUGAUAUUCCCUGUUUCGAACAAGAUUGAAUUUUGAUGGACUGCAUAUAGUGUUUGAUUCUCCUACACCGUGCCCUGAAUGAUCUUAUGUUCACCCAGACUUAUAGGUUUCUAAAUACUAGGCUCAUGGGACUUAAUUCUAAUGGUUAGUUUUUUUGGAUUCAUGUACUCUGGUGCUGCAGCCUACGUAAAACUCCUUCACAAUAGUGUUUAAAGCUUAAAUUGAUAACUCUAUCAGAGUUCAAGCAUUAGGCUCUCUGCUCUGUGUAUUGCCAAGUGUUCUAUAUAAUGCUUUGAUGUUCUUUUGUCACUGUUUGAUGUUCUGCCUUGGGUAGCCUCUGUCUUGGUUUACAGCUCCAUAUGGCAACCUAUGUAUACCUAUGUAGGUUUUGUUUGAACUGUACUCAAAUCACCCAUAUGUUUCCAUAGUCUUGCCUUCCUCUUUUUAACUCAUGAGAUUACUAGAUAGUUGAAUAUCAUCCUAAAAUCUAAAAAGUGCACGCACACUUCUUCGUAGGAACGGGCGGCCGGCUUGUUACUCACAUGUGUACUUCCUCUCUCUCAGUUUACAGGGCGUGCGCGUACCCCUAGGUCGUCAAUUUGACUAACCUAAUACAAGUCAUAUAUUACAAAAAAUAUACCAAUAUAAACUUCAGAUGUUCUAUUUUCAAAAGGUAUAAUUUUUGUGUUAUAUAGUUUAUAUUAGGGUGAUAAAAUUGGUAACCUAGGUAUACGCGUAGGACUUAUAAACUGUGAUGGAGGGAGUAUCUUUUUUUGUCAGUUAGUGAAUGUUUUUUGUUAGUAUUAAAUGCGUAUAGACUAGUCUGAGAAACAGAUUCAGGCACAUUUAUUUUGGCCUCUUAAAUUUUUUAAAAGUCAUAUCUUUUAAACCACACGUCGGAAUUCAGAUCCAUUUUCACUGUUGGAUUCAUCGCGACGAGAUCUUCGAAACUAGAUCCCGCAUGAGUAUGUUUCGACAAAAAAAUUUUGAUGCCAACUUUGAUGCUAUAUGAUGCAACUAAAGUACUGCAUUGUGCAACUUUAGUACUACAUGAUGCAACUUUUUUUAAACCAACUUUAGUACUACAUGGCUUGUAAUUUAGUCUAGUUGCACACAUAUUGAUGUUUAGUUGGCUUAUAAUGUAGUCUAGUUGCACACACAUUGAUGUUUAGUUGCCAGAAGGACUAGUUGCACACACAUAUGCUCAGUUGGCUUGUAAUUUAGUCUAGUUGCACACACAUUAAUAUUUAGUUGGCAGGACACUAGUUGCACACACACAUAUGCGCAAUUGACGCGACAAUGUAGUUUAGUUGCACACACAUUGAUAUUUAGUUGACAGGACUAGUUACACACAUAUAUGCUCAGUUAGCGCGGCAAUGUAGUCUAGUUGCACACACAUUGACAUUUAGUUGGCAGGAAGACUAGUUCGUCAAAACAACCCCAUAUGGGAUCUACUUUUGAAGAACACGUCGCGAGGGUUUCAACGAUGAAAACGAAUCUAAAUUUCGACACACGGAUUGAAAGUAUGCCUUUUUAAAAUUUUAAAAUCACAAAAUAAAUACGAACAAACACAUGCACAUGCAUAUGCAUGCACAAGAGGAGAUGCAUAUGCUAGCAUUUAAUACGUAGCAGGAAAAUGGACUAUUAAACCAAAUCUGUAGCAUAGACAGAAAUAAUACGUGCACACAAUUUAGAAUUUAGGCCGGCCGCUCGGUACGGCUACUGAGCAGCCGGCCGCUCGCUAGACUUGCCCGAAUAUCAUUGGUCUCUGUCGGCAUUCUAUUUUCGUAGUUUGAAAUGAAUAUUGGUCUAUUGAUAUUAAACUUCACAAUAGGUAGUGGCAUCUUCAGGAAAAAGUAGUGGCAGACAUGCUGGAAAUUUCUUUUCUACUGCAGGAAUGACACUUGCCCAAAUCCUCAACACAUAUUUUUGUGCUCUCAACCAAAUGUGUGUGCUAUGAUAAUUAAGGUUACCAAGAUGAAUGGUGUUUCUAUAGGGCCGGACAUAUUUCUUAUCUUCAUAAAUCAGUGAUGCACAGAUUAUCUUAGCUAUAUUGUGAAUCUUGAUAACCUCACGAUGAACAAAUUUUGCGGCCUGUAUUUGGGAUAAUUCAAAUUGUUGCGAAAUGUGUUCGUCCAGGAAAAGUCACUACAUCAUAUGUCCUAGAUAAAUCUUUACUGAACAUUUUAGUUUUCCUCAUACAUGCUUAUCAUUUGGCAUAAUGUUAUUUUGCGAGCUUAAUUCUACCCUGAAUAUACAAACAAUCAGUUUGUUUAUUUUUUUUGCUGUCAUAAUAAGACCCUGAAACCAUCUUCCAUCAAACACAUAUCUGUAGUAUCUAUACUAUGUACAAGGUGCAGAUAGAUAUAUUUGUUGACCAAGCAAUUCCCCUCUUUUGAGACAAAGACCAAUAUAUGAUUACCCAUCCCCUGGUUUCCUUUCUAUUUUUUAUUCCAAUAUAACAUGAUGAGCUAUUCGUUGUUUUCUAAUUUCAGUGUAAUCUAAAAUCAGACUGUGCGAACAUAGAUGCAUUUAUUCACAAAUUAGCAAGCACCUGAGUGAAGAACCCUUAAAAUGUAUGGAAAAUGCAAUUACCACCGGCAAAUAAAUUGGCAUUUGUAUUCCAGGUAACAGUCCCGAAAAGAAAGAGGACUAUGGACCUGAGUGGGAAUGGAGGCAGGAUAUUCUUCUGGAUGGCUAUGUUGAGGUGGUGGUUGGUCCGAUCCAUGGUGUACGCAAAAUCGGUCAGCAUGGUGGAGUUGUGCUGUGGGGAGGACACUGGUUUGGAGAUCUAGGCGACUAUCUGCGUGCUGGGUGGAUCAGUAGCCCACCUCGGGAUAGAGGCAAGCGGCGCUUCACGUGUGCCUCGCCAUGCCACAACAGUGGCGUUGACAAUGUUUAAUCCUAAGACCACUAUUUUUGUGUCUAUAUGCAGUGUUCACUUUGUCUAUAUCUUGGCAAUGUUUAAUCAUAAAACCACUAAUUCUGUGUCUAUAUGCAGUGUUCACUUCAUCUAUAUCAUAUUUAUUUUAUAUGGCAAAUCAUCUUUCGAAAUUAACCAAGCCUAACUACACACUAGGAAUAUGGUGAAAACUAAUAUGAAACAACAACUUUUGUCACAUAUACCAAACCAAG